rnacentral:rRNA from 1 species
UACGUAGGAGACGAGCGUUGUCCGGAAUCACUGGGCGUAAAGCGCGUGUAGGCGGAUGAGCAAGUCUGCUGUGAAAGCUCCUGGCUUAACCGGGAGAGGUCGGUGGAAACUGCUCGUCUGGAGGACGGUAGAGGCUGGUGGGAUUCCCGGUGUAGUGGUGGAAUGCGUAGAUAUCGGGAGGAACACCAGUGGCGAAGGCGGUUGCCUGGAGCUUUGCUGACGCUGAGGCGCGAAAGCGUGGGGAGCGAUCCGG